rnacentral:lncRNA from 1 species
GAGGAGGAUCGUCAUGGGGUUGGGGUUUGGGACGGGGUAGAUUGAUGUCGGUGGGAGUAGUGUGCGCGCGAGUGAUGCUGAGAUUGUCUUCUUUGAAGGAGAUGACUAUGGCGAUGAGCUUGGCGAGGAGGUAAGAGAAAAUGAGGCCUAGGAAUAUCGACUGGAGGAGCUGUUGCCACUCGCCCAUUGUUUCUUCGGUACGGUGAGUUAUAAACCCUAACCCUAGAAGUCUCUCAAUGGAUUGAACUAACGCCCAAAAACCCUAAAAAUUGAGGAACUACAGAGAGAGAAAUAAGAAGACUGAUGAAGAUUUUUCAGAGAUAUGGCGUUUUGCGCUCCGGGAAACAGAGCGCACCGCAUAAAUGGCAAUGAGGGAAAGGGGCUUGCUGCGUUGGUGGUCGUUACUAGGGGGGAAACAAUCGGGUGCUCCGCGGACAAGUGCAAGCUAGCUCCGUGAUCAAAUUGAAUUUUAAUUUUAGUUUUCAAUUUACUCUUUUCUUUUUCUUUUUUUCUGUCAACCGAAAUAAUAAACAUCUAGCAAUGUUAAAAACAAAAAAAGUAUAAACAUUAUUUUCUACUAUUAUAUAAAGUGAAUUUGAAAUAACAUAUUUUUCUUCAUUCAUCGCGUAAAUUCAGACUACAAAUAACAAUUAUAAUUACUAAUACUGUGGUAUUACAUCGUAGUAAACAUGAGCCACUAAACUAAUCCCCUACGUUGAUCUCUAUGGCCAAAAAGAAAGCAUUGGUAGGGAAUUGUUUAUAAUUUAUGGGUCCCAUCCAUCCUCCAAUUGCAUUUCUUUCCUUCAUCAGUACUUGCACUUUCCAUAGCCUGUCAUUAAAAAAUUAAUUAUUAAUUAUUAAUUAUUACUAUAAUAAAACCAAACUAAAAAUUGUUUGCAUUAAACUUCUCACUUGGAUCGACGGCAGUGGUGGCUCCAGUUCCUUCAAACUCACAAUCAUAACCGUUCCUUCCCAUUGCUUGAAAGUAGCGGUUCAUGGCAUAUGCUGCAUGGGCUCGAACUGUGUUGGGCAUAAAGCACGGCCCACCUUGUUUGAUUGGCCCACAAUUCAAUCCCAGCCCACAAACAUAAUCAAUAUUCCUCUGCAAGGCCUCCGCGUCAGCUCCCCUCUUCGGGAGACACCAUAGUUUCUCGCCAUGCGGCGGUGAUGGGCUCGCUGGUGCAAGACCUGGAACUGGAACUGGGCCUGGGCCUGGGCCUGGGUUCAAAGGUGUAGAUGAACUAGCCUGUCAAAGCGAAGCCCACAAACCAAUCAAGCACAUAUAUAAAGAUGAUAUCAAGAAGGGGAAUUUUUUAGGGUGGUUUUCAGCUGCAGCAGCUACCGUGUGCCGGAGGAUCCCGACAUUGUAAACUGGUGUCAUGUCGGGCCGGAAAAGCCCGAAAUUCCUCUCGCAUGUUGGGCCGGGCUUGAGAUUUUCAUUGAAGAGGGCAAAGAUGUACGUCUCAAAAGUCCGGUUUGGCAUCAACGGGGUGCCAUUACCGGAUGUCACAUGACGAAUGAGAUUUCCAUUGUAAUCCGCUGCACUCUGUGGGUCAACACCAACUUGGGCCGGAUCACACUCUGAUGGCCAGCCCGUUUCGGCUAUAACAAUCUCAAGGUCCACAAAGCCCAAAAGCUUCAUGGCUGAAAAAACAGCAUCUAAUUGUGCAUCCAACAUGUUGGUGUAAAGGAGUUUCGUUUUGUCAUCAAAGACGCCGGAAUUUGGCCUGAAAAGUGCGUAAUCAAGUGUGUCCGCAGAGAAUCCGAAAUAAGGAUAGGGGUUCACCAUGAAAGGAGAAUUGGUGGCUUUCAAGAAACUAAGCAACGGCUUAAGCACAUGGACGUCAUAGCCUUGCCUAAAUUUGCCAGAGGACGGUGGGCUUGAACUUGAAAGAAUGCCUAGAGAGUGUGGGGUAGAGACUUUAAUCUUGCGGUCCAACGAAGCAUCGACAAGGGCGGCGUGGAGGGUUUGCAUGGCAGGAACAAGGCCUGCAAUGAACAACUUGUUUGUGGUGGACAAAACUUCAUUGCCUAUUAAGAUGCGGACUAUGUUGGUGGCCUGGACGUAAGGUUGGACAUUGGAUUUGAGCCAUUGUUGGGCAAAGCUAAGCUUGGUAAGGUGGGGGAUUUGGUCAUUUGGGACAGUGAUUGUGACUGCAAUGCCAGUGUGAGCAAAGGCUUGUAGUAUAUCAGGGUUUGCAUCAAAAAGCCUAACACGGUUGAUGAUGGUGGAUUCUAAAAGGAAAUGGGCGACGUGGGUUGGUGGAGGGAGGUCAUUUGCCACCGUGCCAUAGUUCACCCCAAUAGAUCCUUGCACUCCUCCUAGCACAAAUUUUAAAAGAAAUUAAAGUAAAUCCAUUUUUGGUACAUAAAAUAUAUAUAUAUAUAAAUUGAAUUUGCAAUAUUAAUACCUUGAAUGAAGAUUGAGACAAGAAGGAGCAAAACACAGCAUCCAGAUGAUGCAAAAUUGGGAAGAGAAUUUGCCAUGAGUAAGAAGAGUGUGGGUGCUGUAUGUUUGGGAGGUGAAUGGUGAUGCAAGCUUAGGGUACCAUUCUUGAAGAAGUAACUUUUGGAUUCUUUGCUUUGCAAUUGGGAGAGGCCAGGGAGUAGGAUAUCUUGCUGCCAAGGGUUAAGUGUCUGUGCAUGUCUUGACAGACAGAGCUUUACUUUUUCCUGUGGAUAUCUUUUUGAUUCUGUUCCGUAAUUUCUUUUCCUUGUUUUAUCUUACUCUUGUUGUUAAAACUUAGUAUUAUCAAUUAAACUAGUUAUCAAUAGAAGAAAGUGAUAAAAGCUCUGAAUAUAUGCUGUUAUAAAAGUAAUAAGCAAGGGAUUUAUAUCAGUAAUUGAAGAUUAAAGCUAAAUAAUCUGGCUUGCUUUUUAUAUGUAUAUGAGUCGAUGCUAAUUAUAUCUUUACUUGCCAUGAUGGAUAAGGAAUUGCAGGAUGACAUUUUAAAGGCCCACUAACCUUUUCAACACCUCGAUAGAGUGAACUCCAAAUUAAUAUUAGAGAGAGUAAUAUUAUAGAAGUUGGAUUAAUAGAUUUGGACGAGUUCAACAUACAUAUCGAUCUUCAUCCUUGAGCUACUCCAAAUUAAAUUGUAAUUUGGUGGGGUAAUUACCAAUAACUAAUUAAAGUAGCAGACAACUUUGUUCCUUUGCAAUCACAAUUAAGGGGAAAAAUGAAUUAAGCUAGCUCAGCUGGCAUGGCAUAGAAAUCUUGUUAGACUAUCCAACAAUGUAUUUUAAUGAUUAGAGCCGUUUAUAUUUUAGCUGACUUUUGCAUAAAUAAUCCUUGAAAAAUAACCUAAAAACUGAACGGUUCAGAUUAUUGAAUUACAAUCAAGAAAUAGGAUGUCUUGAUUUUAAAGAAAAUAAGUGCAUCCUUACUACAGAAAUCCCCUUACUAUUAAAAAAAAACCUCCAUAUAAAUGCAGCUAGCAUGUCCGUGUAUAUAUAUAUAUAAUAGAGAGAUCACUUAUAUACUCAGAAUCAGAUAAAUGAGCAGAGAUAGGGUUUGCUUUGGUGAGACAAGAUGGUGAAAAACUUGGAUCAAUACAAUACAUAUGCAUUCAAUUCGAUCAUUAGCGAGUAGAGAGGUAGCUCCUGGAAGUGCGCACAUCGAUCAUCAGUCCUUUUCUGUCUUAAUUUCCCUUCCAGCUCCAGUGCUAGCUUUAGCCUGAACAAGACAAAACUACGGCUAGUAAUGAAACAUAAAAUGAAUGGUAAUUAUUAGUUAUGGCACUUCAAAAUCCGGCACCAAAGCAAUGAUCUCUCUCUCUCUCUCUCUCUCUCUCUCUCUCUCUCUCUCUCUAUAUAUAUAUAUAUAUAUAUAUAUAUACAGUCCCCUUCUAUUGAGGGAUCCCUCAAAUAAAAUUAUUUGAGGGACGCCCUUUAGGGUACCUACAAUUUUUUUCCCAAUGAUCCAAACCAUCUAUUUUUUAGGUCUUCAUUCAUAGAUCAUCCUAACAAAAAAUUAGACAAAUCGGAAACCGUUUCGACAUCCAAUUGUGUCUUACAAAAUCAAUGAACACGGUGCUUCAAGAAAAUGCUAAAAUUUCAAUAACUUAAUUGAGUGGUCAAAUGAUAUCGGAUUCAAGUGAUUUUUUGUAGGGAUGAUCUUUGAAUGAGUAUCUACAAAAUAGACGGUUUGGAUUAGUGAAAUACAAUCCGGAGUGGGGCCUACAAGGGGUGUCCCUCAAAUAAGCUUAUUUGAGGGAUCCCUCAAUGGAAGCUCUCUGUAUAUAUAUAUAUGGUAUAUAUGAUCCGAUAAUUAAUUGACGCUUCAUUAAUUUCUUGUGUUAAUUAACAUGUAUCCAAAUUUGAAAUGAAAAGACGGAAAAACUUUUUGCUAAUUGAUGUGAUGUGAGCAAAUUAAUUGAUGCUUAAUUAAUUUCUUGUGUUAAUUAACAUGUAUCCAAAUUUGAAAUGAAAAAAGGGGAAAACUUUUAGCUAAUUGAUGUGAUGUGAGCAAAUUAAUUGAAGUAAUAUAUAUUCGCUACGUUUAAGCAGCAAGAAGAUGAUGGAGAAAGUGGAAUAAUAAUAAGCAGUAGUACUUAUCUGUAUAAGGGUGAUGAUAUAUAUCAGGUAGCUAGCAGAAGGCCUUUUUGGUGGAAAAAUCUUCCUCUUGUAACGCUGCUUGCUGAAAUGAGCAUCUCAGAAUUGCAGAAGCACCAGUGCUUGCAAACUGCAUGCAACUGUGGCUUGGAAUACUCAUUUGAGCAAGAAACAUUACAAAGAGGAUUAUUUAAUAAUCAGAGAGAGAGAGAACUGAUGGCAAGCAAGCAUAUGGUUCUUUCUUGUAAUAGCCCUGCAAUGUAGGGCUGUGCUAUAUAGAGGAAGGGAUUAUAUAUAACUCUCAUACGCCAGUGAUGUGAUCUGGUGGGGGUGAAAGCACGGUAAGUCUACUACUUGUGCGUGUGAUUGGAAUAUGUUGACUAAGAAUUAUUCAGAUCCCAGGGCUAGAGAGAGAUACCCCUAUUGGUCAUCUCUGUAGAGCCCUUGUUCACUUGUGUUGUUGGUUGUCGUUAUAUGAUAUAAAUGAAUGUAACUUAUAAUCUGGUUCAUGGAAGUUUGUUGGUUGGCAAUGGCAUAUACUAUGGAAUAUAUGAUCAUCCAAAGGAAGGGAGAAAAGGCGAUGGGAGCUUGUUGGGGGUAUGUGGUUUGUCGGUUUGGUUUAAUUUUGACAGUCCGUUCAGAGCAGAAGAAAGGGUGCUGCUAUUGCUAUUGCAUGAUAUGCAGCAUCAUCAGCUAGGAAUUGUAGGUGGCUGUUUUUGGAAUGGUUGGUUACUUCACUUGUAUAUCUACAUCUCCAUGGUAGCUAAUUCAAGUACUUCUCCCAUCCAAACGCCAACCACCAUAACUUAUUAUAGCAACAAUUUCAUUUACCAAAAUAAGUAAAUAAAUAUUGACGCACAUGUAUAUUUGAAUGUACAUAUAUAGAACUGUUCUUAAUUAUUUAAACUACAACUCCUUUACUAUAUAAUCUACCCAUCAAUCUAAUCUACCUGAUGAAUUGUUGAGCACCUACUAUUUGAAGGGAUGGUAUCAAUCGCCAUCAUUCAUGCCAUCAUUCAUUUAUUCUUGUCAUUAUUUUCGAGUCAAAAUUUUUGAAAAACAAAAGGCACACAUCAUAAACAAUUAUGGUGGUUUCCACGAAGAAGGUGAAUAUAAAAAAGGGAAAACCUGAGAAGACCCUCUUCAGAGAAAACAAAUCUGAAAACAGUAUCACGAUCGAGCUAUAUAUGCCUUUCUUGUUCUACUUUCUAGUCAAAGUUUUAGUGGUUUUGUACUUUGCGAGUUUCCAGGGAUGAAGUCAGUCCCAACUAUGGCGUUUUCGCGACCGUCAAACUUGUUUUUUAAUUGGAAAUUGCAAGUGCUGUCUUCUGUGCCUCAGCUAACUUGACCUUUCUGGCAAAUGCAGGGUCACGUCGUUCAAUAGUUUCUCAUCAAGUACUAGAAUUCUUUACUCUACUUUUAGAGUGGGUUGGUGAGUUUCAAGUGAGGCAGUAGCAUCUGAUAUUAUGGUAUGUGGCUGCCGGCUGGCACAUGUGAAUUGUGUUCUAGCUAGCUACCCACCACGAUCUCCCUUUCCUUUUCUAUCUGAGAUUCAUGCAACUUCAUGAGAAAAUUACUCUAACUAACAAGGGAUUUUUUUUCACUUUUUUUUUUUUCGAAAGCUACCUACCUAGGCUACUUGACAGAAGCAAAAACUUAUAUUUCAAACUCUGAGAGACAUAACAAAGAAAGAAAAACACUAUGCUCUGCAGAAGGAGACUAACAAAAUUGUCUUCGGAAGGAUGCACAGAUGCAGGGUAGGCUAUACAUAAAAAAUGCCUAGAAAUAAACUUGAAAUACAGAAUGAAAAUGCAUUAAGCACCGUGGUUGCUUCUUAUACAACAGAUGAACCUUGAAUUAGCAAGUAAAACAGUAGGGAAAAUGGUCAUCGACACCCCAGAGUUGCUCUUCCUUCCUCAUUGAGAGAUGUAUUUCUACAGAGUUUCUGAAGAUCAAUGUACCCGAUAAUGGUAUCCUCAAACACGGCACCGUCAAGUUUUGCUUCAUUAAAGGUGGAGCCUGAUAACACAGUGUUCUUAAACAAAGCUCCUUGCAGAUUAGCUUUCUCAAAGUUAACUCGGUCUAGAACUGCAUUUGAGAAAUCUGUACCUGCAAAAAGAAAACCAUUGAUUUCUUUCAUUCCAUAUCAUCAUCUUGUACAUUUGAUGUCUAGGAUGAUAUGCAAUCUUACCCUUGAAGCUAGCUCCUGCAGCAUAAGCCUUUGACAUCACAACUUCUGACAUGUCUGCACCAUCAAAUUUUGCUUCAGACAUGAGUGCUGCUGCAAGACUCUUUCCCUUCAGGUUGGACUUCUCAUUUGUGUAAUCACAGAAACGGAGAUCAAUUGCCUUGUCAUAAACUCCAUUUGCUUGACCUAUUGUGUUGCCAACAAAUGCACGCUCACACCGACUUGGAUCAGUUGACAAUGGAGGCAACCUCUAUUGCAAAACAAAAACAAACAAAAAAUCAAUUUAGUACCCUUUCAUAAUCACAACUAGAAAAACUAGUAGGUUUGAGUUUCAUCAUUGUCAUCAUCAUUUAUUGUUUGGAUGAUGACAUUUUGGCUCCACCUAUUUUAACGAACGUGUGACAUUUCACAAGAGCUGAAAGAAAACAAACUAAAGGAAAAGUGGACUUCAGAAGAGAUACAAUAAAGUAGAAUAUUAAAAGUGGCAAUGUAAUGAAAUUUCUUAUGAAGCAUCUCGACUUUCUACUCAUACCAUAAAUGUUCCAGAAAAAUAAGGAUUUUCUAAAAGUUUCUGAUACUUGGAAUGCAAUUGGAGGCAAGCUUCAUAAAGUGAAUUGAGGUAGACUUGUCUGGUUCUCUACAGCUAUUCUAAAACAUGGUUUAUUUACUGUCUGCUUAACUUAUUCAUGACAGGCUUCCAACUAAGGCCAGACAAAUUUCCUGGGGCUAGACAGCCAACACUCGGCACAUUCGUUUUCAAGAUGAGUUUAAUUGGAUAAAAUCUCAGAGUAAAGGAAAGAACUUAAGGUUUCUAACUAUCAAACUUGGUUGGGAUGGCCGCAUAUAUCGCACCUGGUGUAAAGGAAUCGGAAGGAACAUGAAAACAGCUUUGCUUCAUGGAGCUCUGUCGGGGUCCUCAAGGAUUAUUCAUGAUAUUCAAGCUGAAGUUGCAGAAAAAGGCGUAUUUCUGUUUCUCUUAAUUAAAGAGAAAUUUGUAACUUGUGGAAUUUGUUUGUUACUGCUUAGCUGGUUGUAUGUCCUAGUUUUGCUUGGUUUUUGACUAAACAAAUACAAAGUACCAUAAGACAUUCAGAAGAAGUAAGAAAACUGUGACCAUCGGAUUAGAUCUGUUCAACAUGGGGCACUCAAAUCUCCAAUGCAGGCAUUCCAUUAGUCCACUAAGCAUAGCAUGUGAAAAAUAUACAUAGAUGGUGAUAGGUAAACUAAGGCCCUUAAAAAUAAAAGGGAGUAAUGUAGGCUAAGAGUGUGUUUCAAUUUUCAAACCUGACCAGCAGCAAUUACAGGCGAGGCAGCAGUCACAGCCCAAACAGCAAGAAUGCCACAAGCUACAUUCUUAAGUUGCUUCAGUUGAGACAAGUUUUCCUUUAAUUCAUGACCAUCCCUAGAUGCUGCAUGGUCCAAAGUAAUAUCAUGAAUACGAGAAAAGAAAUCCCUCCACUAUUUGUUUGCAGAGGUUGGUAAGCAAAAUCAAAAGCAACAGAAGUCGAAAUCUAUAUAUGACCAUUUUGUUUUCUGAUUCUGUAAAUGCUUUUGGAAAAUUGCUUUCUGGGAAGAUAACAACAGAGAAAAGCUAGGCUUAUAAAUCGUUUAAGAUAAAAGUUUCCAAAUUUAAUUAACUGGGCAACAAACAACAGAAUCAAAACCCAGAACUUGGAACUGCUUUACAUAGCAUUUCAACCAACUGAACCAAAAUUGAACAUGACAAGACAAGAAUGAGUAUUGUGAGAAGAAUCAGUGCGGAAGGCUCACCAGAGCAACACACACGCAUAGGUGAGUGGAAUUCUGGAACUGUGAAACAAUGGCGUUUCGUUGGGGAGAACUGGAGAGAGAGACCAUUGCGCGAGAAUGGAAUUGAAGCAAGUGAAGCAGCCAUUUUCGAAACAAUGGCAGUGUGAGACAGACGAUGGCGUCUUCUUAUCCGCUAUAGUUUCCGUAGAAGAUCAAGAUGACGUGGCAUGACACGUGGGAUCGUGUCUGACGCCAAUGUAUAUUUGCUCCCGCUUUGGCCUUAUCCCGGGUCACCAUGGAAUUGUCAAUUUACUACAUACAUACAUACAUACAACACACACGGCGAUAGAAACGACAUGUCGUAGGAGUGCAAAGUCACAGUCAAUAAACAACAUGCCGGGCCGGCAGAUAAUAUUCUUUAAAAUUUACUUUUAUUUAUUUAUUUAUUUGUAUACGUAAAUAGAAAAAAAGAAAAGAAAACACGGUAAGGUAAAAUAUGGUAAAAGGCUAGUUCCUACGAACAAGGAAGGAAGGAGAAACGGUCGGCCUCCAUUGUGUUGUGAAUUGAAUUGAUCUUUUGUUGUUUGGUUGGUUGUAUAUUUGGGAAUUGACUUUUGGUUGGGUCUCUUUCUCUUUCUCUGCCACUGCAAAAAUUAAAGGCGAUGGAGAGCCAGAGCCAGAGCUCGUGCUUAUCGUACGAGAAGCUGAACGGGGUGGCCAGCUGGCUUGGGACCCACGUGGCAUCGGCCUUCUUCGCAUCGCUGGAGCGGUGCUCCUGCAUCAACCUCUCCACCUCCGACGACCACGAAAUGAACCCAGAAGAAGCUCACGACCGACCCCUCAUGCUCUUCGCCUCUCGCUCCGUCAAUCUCAGCGACCACCGUCCUCACUACCCUUCUUCCUCCUCCUCGUCGGCCCCAAACGACGUCGUCAAUCUCCCGGUCUGAUGAGGGACAGACACGUCAGCAUCCUCGAUGGGAUCGGAAAAUUGGGUUCAUUUUGUUCUCUCUAGGUUUUUUUUUCUUUGAAAUUUUGGGUUUUGGAUUUAUUUCCAUUCAAUUUGUGAUGUUUUCAGGUCGUGAAAGUCGAAAUUGAAUCGGGAAAAUUGGGGGUUGGAUUUCUUAUUUGUGUAUGAUUUGAUUGAUUAUAUGCUUUUUACCCUGGAUGUGAUGUGUUGCUGUUUGUAUUGUUGCCUGUAACAAUUUUUUUUUUUUAAAGUGUAUUAUAUAUAGUUAAAGUUAAUGGGAAAAUGAUGGUCUCCUCUCUCCUCUGAUUUCUGUGCAAUGGGUGUUGUUUGAUUUAUUAUCCUCCUGAAUGAAUGAAUCAACGUUCUCUUCUCUUAAAAUGAAGCAGAAUCUGAUGUCAAAAGAUUUGUUUUGUUUUGUCUUGUUUUCUCAAGUGAAGACUCUUUCCUACUAAGAAGUAUGAACUGUUUUUCGAUUGUUGUUGAGAAUUUUAAGAAUGUGAAUGGGCCCUGAAUGGCGAGGGAUCCCUGUUCUGUUCUGGAUUUUAAGAAUGUGAAU